UACGUAGGGUGCAAGCGUUGUCCGGAAUUAUUGGGCGUAAAGAGCUCGUAGGCGGUUUGGUGCGUCUAUCGUGAAAACCUGCAGCUUAACUGUGGGCUUGCGGUGGAUACGGGCAGACUUGAGUUCGGUAGGGGAGACUGGAAUUCCUGGUGUAGCGGUGAAAUGCGCAGAUAUCAGGAGGAACACCGGUGGCGAAGGCGGGUCUCUGGGCCGAUACUGACGCUGAGGAGCGAAAGCGUGGGGAGCGAACAGG
rnacentral:rRNA from 1 species